GACGAACGCUUGCGGCGUGCUUAACACAUGCAAGUCGAACGGAAAGGCCCUGCUUUUGUGGGGUGCUCGAGUGGCGAACGGGUGAGUAACACGUGAGUAACCUGCCCUUGACUUUGGGAUAACUUCAGGAAACUGGGGCUAAUACCGGAUAGGAGCUCCUGCUGCAUGGUGGGGGUUGGAAAGUUUCGGCGGUUGGGGAUGGACUCGCGGCUUAUCAGCUUGUUGGUGGGGUAGUGGCUUACCAAGGCUUUGACGGGUAGCCGGCCUGAGAGGGUGACCGGCCACAUUGGGACUGAGAUACGGCCCAGACUCCUACGGGAGGCAGCAGUGGGGAAUAUUGCACAAUGGGCGGAAGCCUGAUGCAGCAACGCCGCGUGCGGGAUGACGGCCUUCGGGUUGUAAACCGCUUUCGCCUGUGACGAAGCGUGAGUGACGGUAAUGGGUAAAGAAGCACCGGCUAACUACGUGCCAGCAGCCGCGGUGAUACGUAGGGUGCGAGCGUUGUCCGGAUUUAUUGGGCGUAAGGGCUCGUAGGUGGUUGAUCGCGUCGGAAGUGUAAUCUUGGGGCUUAACCCUGAGCGUGCUUUCGAUACGGGUUGACUUGAGGAAUUUAGGGGAGAAUGGAAUUCCUGGUGGAGCGGUGGAAUGCGCAGAUAUCAGGAGGAACACCAGUGGCGAAGGCGGUUCUCUGGGCCUUUCCUGACGCUGAGGAGCGAAAGCGUGGGGAGCGAACAGGCUUAGAUACCCUGGUAGUCCACGCUGUAAACGGUGGGUACUAGGUGUGGGGUCCAUUCCACGGGUUCCGUGCCGUAGCUAACGCUUUAAGUACCCCGCCUGGGGAGUACGGCCGCAAGGCUAAAACUCAAAGGAAUUGACGGGGCCCCGCACAAGCGGCGGAGCAUGCGGAUUAAUUCGAUGCAACGCGUAGAACCUUACCUGGGUUUGACAUGGAUCGGGAGUGCUCAGAGAUGGGUGUGCCUCUUUUGGGGUCGGUUCACAGGUGGUGCAUGGCUGUCGUCAGCUCGUGUCGUGAGAUGUUGGGUUAAGUCCCGCAACGAGCGCAACCCUUGUUCACUGUUGCCAGCACGUUAUGGUGGGGACUCAGUGGAGACCGCCGGGGUCAACUCGGAGGAAGGUGGGGAUGACGUCAAGUCAUCAUGCCCCUUAUGUCCAGGGCUUCACGCAUGCUACAAUGGCUGGUACAGAGAGUGGCGAGCCUGUGAGGGUGAGCGAAUCUCGGAAAGCCGGUCUCAGUUCGGAUUGGGGUCUGCAACUCGACCUCAUGAAGUCGGAGUCGCUAGUAAUCGCAGAUCAGCAACGCUGCGGUGAAUACGUUCCCGGGGCU
rnacentral:rRNA from 1 species